rnacentral:ncRNA from 1 species
CUGCCACAACGGCUUCCUGACGUGGCAGAAUAAAUCAAAUGGAGCA